CCCGGGCCUUGUACACACCGCCCGUCACACCACGAGAGUUUGUAACACCCGAAGUCGGUGGGGUAACCUUUAUGGAGCCAGCCGCCUAAGGUGGGACAGAUGAUUGGGGGUG
rnacentral:rRNA from 1 species